rnacentral:rRNA from 1 species
AUGGAGCCGCGCGUGGGUAACAAGUACCGCCUCGGCCGCAAGCUCGGCAGCGGCUCGUUCGGGGAGAUCUACCUCGGUACUAACGUGCAGACCAACGAGGAGGUCGCGAUUAAGCUUGAAAAUGUGAAGACAAAGCAUCCUCAGUUGCUGUAUGAGUCAAAGUUGUACAGGGUACUGCAGGGCGGAACUGGGAUUUCAAAUGUCAAGUGGUUUGGUGUUGAGGGUGACUACAAUGUUCUUGUUAUGGAUGUGUUGGGGCCAAGCCUUGAAGAUCUUUUCAGCUUUUGCAACAGAAAACUGUCGCUCAAAACUGUUCUGAUGCUUGCUGAUCAAAUGAUCAACCGAGUUGAAUUUAUACAUUCAAAGUCCUUCUUGCAUCGAGAUAUAAAGCCAGACAAUUUUCUCAUGGGCCUUGGAAAGAGAGCAAAUCAGGUAUAUAUGAUUGACUUUGGACUGGCAAAGAAAUACAGGGACACGUCAACACACCAGCACAUUCCAUACCGGGAGAACAAAAAUUUGACUGGGACAGCUCGAUAUGCGAGUGUAAGCACCCAUCUCGGAAUUGAACAAAGCAGAAGGGAUGACAUGGAGUCUCUUGGAUAUGUACUCAUGUACUUCUUGAGAGGAAGUCUCCCAUGGCAGGGUUUAAAAGCCGGUACGAAGAAACAGAAGUAUGAGAAAAUCAGUGAACGGAAGGUUGCCACUUCAAUUGAGGCUUUGUGUCGUGGAUACCCUUCUGAAUUUCAGUCAUUCUUCCAUUACUGCCGCUCACUGCGUUUUGAAGACAGUCCAGACUAUCAAUAUCUGAAGAGAUUGUUCAGAGAUCUUUUUAUUCGAGAGGGAUUCCAGUUUGAUUAUGUUUUUGACUGGACCAUUCUUAAAUACCAGCAGUCACAAAUGACCAGUGUUCCACGACGGGCUAUUCCCGCUGCCGCAGGACAAAGCUCGGGGAUGGCUCCAAUUGCAAGUAAUAAUAGACUGUCAGUGGAGCAGGGUCGUAAACUGUUUCCCGUUAUCUUGCUUAGGAGUAGCACACAUCCUGUUUCAGCCACCGAAGAGGGAAGAAGAAGUGGGUGGUCAGAUGAUCCUACACGACGUCAGGUUCCACCUACAGGAAUAAAUGCAGGCAGCUUAUCGAAACAGAAGUCACCAGUUAGACCAGAUGUGUCCGCACCGAAGGAAGCUGUGUUGUCCAGUUCGACUUUUUUGGGUCGGUCAGGCGUGUCCUCAAGGCGACCUGCUGUUUCUAGUAGCCGAGAUUUGCCAAGCAGUGAGGCUGAACCAUCGCGUAGUCGUGCACCAGACGUGAGUCCAGGGACGUUCCAGAGAAACUCAGCCCCACGGAGGACCUCACAGACGCUUGACUACUCUGACCCCAGGCACAAGUCUAACAGCAACAACUACGAGUCCACUAUAAGGGGCAUCCGAGGCCUAAAUUUCAAUGCCAACGAUAGGAUCCACUACUAG